CUGCAGUCUGCAUUUACAAACAUUUGUGAAAAGAAUGGAUUGCUCUGAAGCGCUCAGUGAAUUCAUUCCUGGCACUGUGUUAGGAUCCUGCUAGAUAUUCCACAGGAAGCGUUGAGGAACAGCAGCAACUCCACCACAAAGUGGCAAACCACAGAGCUGGGUCACAGAAUGCUGAGGUGCCCACUGCGUAAAAGUCACCAAUGCACUAUAGCUGAAGAAAUCCCAACUUCCACUGGCAUUAAUAUCAGCACAAAAACUACGUGGCAGGAGCUUCAAAGAAUGGAUUUCCAUGGCCAAGCAGCAGCAUGCAAGCAUCAUAUCACCCAGUACAAUUCCAAGCAUUGGAUUGAGUGGCGUAACGCACGCCUGUAGCGGACCACGGGUAACCCGACUGGUUACCUUAGUUAAUUCCUUCCUCCAGCAACUCCUUGAGCGGUGUAAUUCAUUCAUCCUUUUGGUUACUGAAUGUUGGUUCCAUUCAGCUGGGAAGUAUCAUCCCACUCCUGCCACCAGAUGUAGCGGACCACGGGUAACCAGACUGGUUACGUCCGCUAGUUCCUUCCUACAGCCACUCUGGAACCAUUAACACAAGCAGACAUCCAUUCCCCCAGUAACCAGACGGAACAUAGUUCUGGGAGUCAGCUGAGCUUAUUCGGACCCCACAUGGCUUUUAUGCCUAGUCCCCUACAUGGGGUUUACAGUACCAUAAAAUGGGUUUCAAUCCCGG